AGCGUUAAUCGGAAUUACUGGGCGUAAAGCGCGCGUAGGUGGUUUGUUAAGUUGGAUGUGAAAGCCCUGGGCUCAACCUAGGAACUGCAUCCAAAACUAACUCACUAGAGUACGAUAGAGGGAGGUAGAAUUCAUAGUGUAGCGGUGGAAUGCGUAGAUAUUAUGAAGAAUACCAGUGGCGAAGGCGGCCUCCUGGAUCUGUACUGACACUGAGGUGCGAAAGCGUGGGUAGCGAACAGGAUUAGAUACCCUGGUAGUCCACGCCGUAAACGAUGACAACUAGCUGUUAGGAGACUAUGUCUUUUAGUGGCGCAGCUAACGUUUUAAGUUGUCCGCCUGGGGAGUACGGCCGCAAGGCUAAAACUCAAAUGAAUUGACGGGGACCCGCACAAGCAGUGGAUCAUGUGGUUUAAUUCGAUGCAACGCGAAAAACCUUACCUACUCUUGACAUACUUGGAAGCUCUUGUAAUGAGAGUGUGCUUUUAAGAACCAAGAUACAGGUGCUGCAUGGCUGUCGUCAGCUCGUGUCGUGAGAUGUUCCGUUAAGUCGGAUAACGAGCGCAACCCUUACCCUUAUUUGCCAGCGAUUCGGUCGGGAACUAUAAGGGGACUGCCGGUGAUAAACCGGAGGAAGGUGAGGACGACGUCAAGUCAUCAUGGCCCUUACGAGUAGGGCUACACACGUGAUACAAUGGGAGAGACAGACGGACGCUAAGCCGCGAGGUGGUGCUAAUCCUAGAAACUCUCUCGUAGUCCGGAUUGGAGUCUGCAACUCGACUCCAUGAAGUUGGAAUUGCUAGUAAUCGCGGAUCAGCAUGCCGCGGUGAAUACGUUCUCGGGUCUUGUACACACCGCCCGUCACACCAUGGAAGUGGAUUGCACCAGAAGUAGAUAGUCUAACCUUAGGGAGGGCGUUUACCACGGUGUGCUUCAUGACUGGGGUAAAGUCGUAACAAGGUAGCCGUAGGGGAACCUGUGGCUG
rnacentral:rRNA from 1 species